rnacentral:rRNA from 1 species
AUUGAACGCUGGCGGCAGGCUUAACACAUGCAAGUCGAGCGGAGAUGAGGUGCUUGCACCCUAUCUUAGCGGCGGACGGGUGAGUAAUGCUUAGGAAUCUGCCUAUUAGUGGGGGACAACAUUCCGAAAGGAAUGCUAAUACCGCAUACGCCCUACGGGGGAAAGCAGGGGAUCUUCGGACCUUGCGCUAAUAGAUGAGCCUAAGUCGGAUUAGCUAGUUGGUGGGGUAAAGGCCUACCAAGGCGACGAUCUGUAGCGGGUCUGAGAGGAUGAUCCGCCACACUGGGACUGAGACACGGCCCCGACUCCUACGGGAGGCAGCAGUGGGGAAUAUUGGACAAUGGGCGGAAGCCUGAUCCAGCCAUGCCGCGUGUGUGAAGAAGGCCUUUUGGUUGUAAAGCACUUUAAGCGAGGAGGAGGCUACUUAGAUUAAUACUCUAGGAUAGUGGACGUUACUCGCAGAAUAAGCACCGGCUAACUCUGUGCCAGCCGCCGCCGUAAGAC